AGACUUCUUUUUCUCCUGUUCGCUAUGGAGUGCAUAUUAGGCCACUGGAGGGAGAAGAGUGGACAACGUGGUAAAAGCUGGAGGCCAAUGCCAGAACCACUGGUAUGUGCAGGGUGAUACCCGCCUGCCCACUGGGCCAAGAAACUGAAAGCCUGCGUUCCAGCCCCAAACCUCGUCUGCCAGCGCUCAGCCAACAAAUCUACCCGUUGGGGCUUGGAGCUGGCAGCUAGAAGAGUGAUGGUGAGAGGCUGUGAUACUCUGCGUGGAGGCCUAGC